rnacentral:rRNA from 1 species
AGAGUUUGAUCCUGGCUCAGGAUGAACGCUAGCGACAGGCUUAACACAUGCAAGUCGAGGGGCAGCGGGGCUGAAGCUUGCUUCAGCUGCCGGCGACCGGCGCACGGGUGAGUAACACGUAUGCAACCUGCCCUGUACAGGGGGAUAAUUCGGAGAAAUCCGGUCUAAUACCGCAUAACAACUUCUUAAGACAUCUUUUGGAGUUUAAAGGAAGCGAUUCCGGUACAGGAUGGGCAUGCGGCGCAUUAGCUAGUCGGCGGGGUAACGGCCCACCGAGGCGACGAUGCGUAGGGGUUCUGAGAGGAAGGUCCCCCACACUGGUACUGAGACACGGACCAGACUCCUACGGGAGGCAGCAGUGAGGAAUAUUGGUCAAUGGGCGAGAGCCUGAACCAGCCAAGUCGCGUGAGGGAUGACGGUCCUAUGGAUUGUAAACCUCUUUUGCCGGGGAGCAAGAGGGCCACGCGUGGCCACAGGCGAGAGUACCCGGAGAAAAAGCAUCGGCUAACUCCGUGCCAGCAGCCGCGGUAAUACGGAGGAUGCGAGCGUUAUCCGGAUUUAUUGGGUUUAAAGGGUGCGUAGGCGGACUUUUAAGUCAGCGGUAAAAUUGAGGGGCUCAACCCCUUCCCGCCGUUGAAACUGGGAGUCUUGAGUGGGCGAGAAGUAUGCGGAAUGCGUGGUGUAGCGGUGAAAUGCAUAGAUAUCACGCAGAACCCCGAUUGCGAAGGCAGCAUACCGGCGCCCAACUGACGCUGAAGCACGAAAGCGUGGGGAUCACACAGGAUUAGAUACCCUGGUAGUCCACGCAGUAAACGAUGAACACUAAUUGUCCGGCGCCUUGGGGCUGGGUGAUACAGCGAAAGCGUUAAGUGUUCCACCUGGGGAGUACGCCGGCAACGGUGAAACUCAAAGGAAUUGACGGGGGCCCGCACAAGCGGAGGAACAUGUGGUUUAAUUCGAUGAUACGCGAGGAACCUUACCCGGGCUCAAACGUCGGGCGGCGGAAUGUGAAAGCAUUCUUUCAUUCGGGACGACCGACGAGGUGCUGCAUGGUUGUCGUCAGCUCGUGCCGUGAGGUGUCGGCUUAAGUGCCAUAACGAGCGCAGCCCCUACCGACAGUUGCUAACAGUUCAAGCUGAGGACUCUGUCGGGACUGCCGGCGCAAGCUGUGAGGAAGGCGGGGAUGACGUCAAAUCAGCACGGCCCUUACGUCCGGGGCGACACACGUGUUACAAUGGCAGGUACAGCGGGAGGCCAUGUGGCGACACAGAGCGGAACCCGAAAACCUGUCUCAGUUCGGAUUGGAGUCUGCAACCCGACUCCAUGAAGCUGGAUUCGCUAGUAAUCGCGCAUCAGCCACGGCGCGGUGAAUACGUUCCCGGGCCUUGUACACACCGCCCGUCAAGCCAUGGAAGCCGGGAGUGCCUGAAGUGCGUGACCGCAAGGAGCGCCCUAAGGUAAAACUGGUGACUGGGGCUAAGUCGUAACAAGGUAACC